UACGUAGGGGGCUAGCGUUGUCCGGGUUUAUUGGGCGUAAAGAGCGUGUAGGCGGCCAGGUAGGUCUGGUGUGAAAACUCGAGGCUUAACCUCGAGAUGUCAUCGGAAACCAUUUGGCUAGAGUCCGGAAGAGGAGAGUGGAAUUCCUGGUGUAGCGGUGAAAUGCGCAGAUAUCAGGAAGAACACCAAUGGCGAAAGCAGCUCUCUGGGACGGUACUGACGCUGAGACGCGAAAGCGUGGGGAGCGAACAGG
rnacentral:rRNA from 1 species